GAUAGUUUUGUUUAAUCUUGAUUAUUGUUACACUUACACAAUUAACUAAUUAAAAUUGUCACAUGGUGUCUACUUAUGUGAUAUGAAUAACAAUGUAUGUUAUUAUUCACAGUUCUGUAGUUUAUUUUCGCCAUCUGUAUUUUUAUUAAAUGAUUGUCUAAAAUGUUAACUUGGCAUGCCAUACUUGGUAGAAAUGCGGACGUGAAAGAAAGCACUUUUCACAAAAGUGUCAACGGAGAUUAAAACAUUCCAGGGCGACGAUUUUGUCAAUUAUGAAACAAAAUACGUAUAUAUGCACUUUUUGAGUAUGAACCAGUUAUUAUAUUCAUUCACAAUUACGUUCCCAGUAUUUCUCUGAAGUUUAUCACAGUUCCGUCUAAUUUUGGGUCAUAUUUCGACGGUCUGCUAAAAUGUCACUUUAAAUUCAAGAAUAAUGAGUAAAGGAAUAUCCUGUUUUCCUGUCUCAAAUAUGUUUAUUUUUCUUCCUAAAGAAACUAGCCAUUAUUAUAGCGUAGCAAGAAUACAUUUCCGUCGUCGGAUCUAGUAAAUACCGGAAAUCAUCUCCGGUCCGCAGUUCGGUUAAAAAUUUCGAUGAUUCAAUGAAAACAACGACGAUUUUUUGUCACUUUUUUGAAUUUUUAACUAUGAGCGUACUUACGACCCACUAAAAUAUUUGAACUGCAUCAACAUUUAUGUUCAAGGAAUGCCUGGUAUAAAUAUGAUCGUGGGUCGUAGGUACGCUCAUAGUUUAAAAUGCAGAAAAAGGUUUGGAAACUGCCAUUUUUCUGCCCUUUUCCAGAAUCUUGAGGUCUUUACAGCAACAGGGCAUGAAUAAUAUCAACGGAAGUUGAAAAAUCUAUUGAUGUUUACAAAAAUAUAGGUUUUAAACUUUAAAAAUAAUGUAUUAUAUUUAAUAGCAAGUCACUUUUAAUUUGAACGAAAUUAGGGGGCC
rnacentral:lncRNA from 1 species